rnacentral:rRNA from 1 species
AUUGAACGCUGGCGGCAGGCCUAACACAUGCAAGUCGAACGAGUGGCGGACGGGGGAGUAAUGUCUGGGAAACUGCCCGAUGGAGGGGGAUAACUACUGGAAACGGUAGCUAAUACAGCAUACCAUCGGAUGUGCCCAGAUGGGAUUAGCUAGGAGGUGGGGUAACGGAUCACCUAGGCGAGGAUCCCUAGCUGGUCUGAGAGGAUGACCAGCCACACUGGAACUGAUAACAGGUCCAGACUCCUACGGGAGGCAGCAGUGGGGAAUAUUGCACAAGGGGCGCAAGCCUGAUGCAGCCAUGCCGCGUGUAUGAAGAAGGCUUUCGGGUUGUAAAGUACUUUUAGCGAGGAGGCGUUACUCGAAGAAGAAGCACCGGCUAACUCCGUGCCAGCAGCCGCGGUAAUAC